AGUUAUUCAGAUUUCUAAGUAGAUAAAAUGUUGUUUUCCAGCUCCGAUGUUGCGAUAGUGUUGAUUAACAUUUUGAUUGAUAAUUAAUUUUCAGUAGACUACUACAAUUUUGUUUUCUGGAAAGAUUUUUGAGGAUUUUUGAAAAAGGGGAUUUUUACGAACAAAAUACCUAAUUUCUCUAAUUCAUGGCUGAAGACUAACGAAUUUAGUUAAGUUAUAAGUCAAUAGAUUGUUAAAAGUAAAACCGUGUAUCAUAUGCAUACCUUUUCUUUUAAGUAAAUCAAUCUACAGAUCUAAUAAUUUAAUAAUUCCUUUCCUUAUCUUCCCAAUAUAAUAGUCAAUAUUUAUCAUAGUGUUUUCCAACUGUAAUGAUUUCAUAAUACAUAAAUUGUACUCCUCACCAUGGUGAUCAUUCUAUCAGUUAACAAGUAGAAAGUCGAUAAUCGUUUGACUUUCAUCACACUUGUUGUUAAAAACAUUGUAUUCAUUUUAUUUUUUUAUGUGUUCAUAUUUUAUUUUUUCUUCCUAUACUUCUCGGCUUUGGUCUUAUAAUAUUUAUCAUUUAGUAUUUUCCUUGUCGUUCAAGUCAUAGUUCAUAAUAUGAUGAAAAGUAUAUUGUAUAUUUUAAUCUGUCGGUACUCGGUUUACUCGUUUUAUAUAACAUAUAUGUCUACAUCCCUUUUAUUUGUGUGUGUGUCUAUAUACAAGCUAAAGUAGUCAAUUCAUGGAGAUAAAAUUGAAAACAGUAGAGUGAAAUGCCAAAAUUUACUUAAACGUACAUUUCUUUAACGUUGGUCAAGAAACCCAUGGUCCGUCAGAAUCCUUCGUAGUCGACGAAAAUCUCGAAACUUUUACGUACUUGUAUAUAUUAUAUUUUUGCGCAGCAACAGUAGCUUGGGUGGCGUAAACUAAAAAGUUUGGAAACCGCUGCUAUAUAGUAUUAUACAGUUACAUCACUUAGUUGUAUGUUCGUAAAUUGCGCCUACAGUGAACAGGUAGGCAAUUAAAAAAACUAGGUGUAAUCAAUAAAAAAUUGCACCUGGAAUUUUUCGAUUUCUAAAAUGGGUAUAGUACUUUGCGUCCAUAGUACCUACUUAGUGGUCUCUUGAAUUCAUCAAUAUCUAUUUUGGAUACUUUUAUACAUUUACCAAUGUAAAGGCCAAAUUUUUAUUGCUAUAUUAUAAUAUUGUUAUGAUUAUAUCGGUAUUGAUGAUUUUAUAUUUUUAUGUAAUUUUUUAGUUUCAUGCAAAAUACCAUAGA